rnacentral:rRNA from 1 species
UACAGAGGUCUCAAGCGUUGUUCGGAUUCAUUGGGCGUAAAGGGUGCGUAGGCGGCUCGGUAAGUCGGAUGUGAAAUCUCGGAGCUUAACUCCGAAACUGCAUUCGAUACUGCCGUGCUUGAGGACUGGAGAGGAGACUGGAAUUUACAGUGUAGCGGUGAAAUGCGUAGAUAUCGGAAGGAAGACCAGUGGCGAAGGCGGGUCUCUGGACAGUUCCUGACGCUGAGGCACGAAGGCCAGGGGAGCAAACAGG